UACGAAGGGUGCAAGCGUUACUCGGAAUUACUGGGCGUAAAGCGUGCGUAGGUGGUUUGUUAAGUCUGAUGUGAAAGCCCUGGGCUCAACCUGGGAAUUGCAUUGGAUACUGGCAGGCUAGAGUGCGGUAGAGGAUGGCGGAAUUCCCGGUGUAGCAGUGAAAUGCGUAGAGAUCGGGAGGAACAUCUGUGGCGAAGGCGGCCAUCUGGACGGUAACUGACGCUGAGACGCGAAAAGCGUGGGUAGCAAACGAGG
rnacentral:rRNA from 1 species